rnacentral:lncRNA from 1 species
CUGAAAGUGACAUAGAAUGGAAGGAAUCUUGAUUUAUAAAGUAUCACUUCAAGCAACGUCACUCAAUGACCGGCAACAUUCCUUUUGGACUUUACCUGGCUUUUAGCUAAACUUGGAGAAAGUGACAAUGCUGUUUCAUGCCCCACAAAGAAAAAAAACCUUGAUCUCUGGCAUGAAGAGUCCAUUGAAACAAGGUAUUGAGACAUCAGAUAUUUAGGAUGAAGGUUUCGUGAGGAACCAGGUACUUGAGGACAAUGAUAGCUGCCUAAAUCUACCACACCACAAUGCAGAAGACUGCACAAGGGAAGAACCUUGAGAACCACAUAAAACUCAGGCUCUGCUGCAAGCCUUUCUUGCAGGCAAAGGCAGUCUAAUAAACAUUUUUUAAAAAUCUUGCAUAGAAGAGAGAAGAAGGGAGUGAGCAGCAGAUCUAAAAUCUUUCUGAAACCACCACUAGGAUGAUAAAGUUAUCCUAACUGUGAAAAUACGGAAAAAAAGUGCAUUACUGCAUCACAGUGCUGAUUACAGGGAAGAGACUUAUAAUACAUGUGCUUUGAAGUGGCAGUCUUCAAAAGGUACAGCUUCUGAGAGAAAAAGAUGAAAAACUAAGAGGGAGGCACUGCAGUGACUGGGUGGUAAAAAAUAAAAGAAGUGGAAGGAAAAGUUACAGUCUUACAAGGCAAAGGGUAACAUGAAAGUCAGAGGGUACAUAACCACUUCCUGCAUCAACAGAAAUCUCAUCCCUGAAAAAAUGUAGACUGUUGCUAUACAGACAGAGGAGGAUGACAAGCCAUUAAACUAGAAAUCUUGUAAACCACCACUCAUAUGCAAAACGAAUAGUAUUGAGAGGUGAAGCUAGCAGGGCUUCUUGGUCGAGUGUGGACUUGGAGAACUUUUCUGUCUAGCUAGAGGAUUGUAAACGCACCAAUCAGCACUCUGCAUC